UACAGAGGGGGCAAGCGUUGUUCGGAAUUACUGGGCGUAAAGGGCGCGUAGGCGGCCUUCUAAGUCGAACGUGAAAUCCCCGGGCUCAACCCGGGAACUGCGUCCGAUACUGGAAGGCUUGAAUCCGGGAGAGGGAUGCGGAAUUCCGAGGUGUAGCGGUGAAAUGCGUAGAUAUCUGGAGGAACACCGGGUGGCGAAGGCGGCAUCCUGGACCGGUAUUGACGGCGUGAGGCGCGAAAGCCAGGGGAGCAAAGCGGG
rnacentral:rRNA from 1 species